rnacentral:misc_RNA from 1 species
UUACCAAAAUCAGGAUUACCUUUAAUCAUUAAUGACCAAAAAAAUUUUUUCUUACAUUUUGUUGGUUUCUAUACUCUUUCAUGCAUGCCUCCUCUUGGCCCUGAUAUCUUUCGGGCCACGUUAUCAUCAUGAUAUUUGAUCCAUGGGAUGUCUGAAGGUGACAUUUCUGUGUUUAUAUAUGAUAAAAUACUGAAAUUUUUUUCUCUUAUUGUUUUUCUAAUAUUGGAAUCUGCAUUAUCUUUCACAGAAAUAAUGGUAUCUUAUAAACUUCUAAAUUAAUCGUUCUUAUUUAUUUGCAGCUCCAACUGUGCAGUUGA